AACGAACGCUGGCGGCAUGCCUAACACAUGCAAGUCGAACGAGACCUUCGGGUCUAGUGGCGCACGGGUGCGUAACGCGUGGGAAUCUGCCCUUGGGUACGGAAUAACAGUUAGAAAUGACUGCUAAUACCGUAUAAUGACUUCGGUCCAAAGAUUUAUCGCCCAGGGAUGAGCCCGCGUAGGAUUAGCUUGUUGGUGAGGUAAAAGCUCACCAAGGCGACGAUCCUUAGCUGGCUGAGAGGAUGAUCAGCCACACUGGGACUGAGACACGGCCCAGACUCCUACGGGAGGCAGCAGUGGGGAAUAUUGGACAAUGGGCGAAAGCCUGAUCCAGCAAUGCCGCGUGAGUGAUGAAGGCCUUAGGGUUGUAAAGUUCUUUUCUGAGGAAGAUAUGACGGUACUCAGGAAUAAGUCCCGGCUAACUACGUGCCAGCAG
rnacentral:rRNA from 1 species